CGGGGGGUCUCUUCCUAUAUAAAGGUAUAUACAUAUGUGCCGCUGGAAUGGGUCCCUUUUUUGAUCCGUCAAAUAUAUCAAUGGGGUGCAAUUUUACCGAGGAAAUAUAUCAAUAGCUAGUAAUUGACCGAUUGUGAUAUAUCAAUGGGUCAUAAAUAUAUGAAUGGGUUAUGAUUUCGCUGUGAAAUAUAUGUAUAAGUAGGGAUUUCACAAUUAUUCAAUAUAUGAAUGGGGGUGUUUUUAAAAUCCCAGCUGCACACCUGUACCCAAAAUCCCAUGUUGAGACCCCCCC
rnacentral:lncRNA from 1 species